CCUACGGGAUGCACCAGUGGGGAAUAUUGCACAAUGGGCGCGAGCCUGAUGCAGCCAUGCCGCGUGUAUGAAGAAGGCCUUCGGGUUGUAAAGUACUUUCAGCGGGGAGGAAUGGAGUAAGGUUAAUAACCUUAUUCAUUGACGUUACCCGCAGAAGAAGCACCGGCUAACUCCGUGCCAGCAGCCGCGGUAAUACGGAGGGUGCAAGCGUUAAUCGGAAUUACUGGGCGUAAAGCGCACGCAGGCGGUCUGUCAAGUCGGAUGUGAAAUCCCCGGGCUCAACCUGGGAACUGCAUUCGAAACUGGCAGGCUGGUGUCUUGUAGAGGGGGUAGAAUUCCAGGUGUGGCGGUGAAAUGCGUAGAGAUCUGGAGGAAUACCGGUGGCGAAGGCGGCCCCCUGGACAAAGACUGACGCUCAGGUGCGAAAGCGUGGGAAGCAAACAGGAUUAGAUACCCUGGUAGUC
rnacentral:rRNA from 1 species